ACCCGGAUUUUAAAAAUAUUUUAUUAAUAUUAUAAAUGAUUUUCUUAAAAAGAAAGGAAUAAGAUUUAAUAUUUUAUCCCAGUUUAAUGAAUUUUCAAGGUUUUAUACUUAAACCCGGGUUAUUGUGUUAUUAAUAAAUAAUUGUAUUUUUAAAACUGAUUUUCAUAUAUUGUUUCGAAAAUUCUAGAUGAGUAUUAUGGGAAUAUAUGUGUUAUGUGAUUAAGUGGUAUUGGUGAAUUUGUUGGUUAAUUAAUUAUGGUUAAUUAUGAGUAUUAUAUGAUUAAUAUAUGAAUUUUUGUGAAUUUUAUAUUAUAUGGUUUAUUGCGUUAACUGCUCAGAUGUGUUCGUAUUUGAGAUAUUUCAAUUUCUAUAGGCUCAGGAGAAAAUAUAGUUUAUUUGGAUAUUUUCAUAUCGAUUUAUGGAAUGUUAGAUGAUUUUAUAAUUGAUUUACGGAUUUAAUUGCGUAUAUUUAUAUUUAAUUAUUGAUUAUUUGAUUUCCGUAAAACCGUCCACUCGUAACGGUGUAGCAAAUUUUCUUCCCGGAAGUUUCGAGAAAACUCACCUUUAGCCUAAUUUGAAUAUUCCGGACAUUUUUCGUGUUUUGACUUUUUCGAUCCGGAGUACGGUUUUCCCCGUAGUCGGUCCGGCGGAGUUUUUCGGGUACUAAAAUUAUCGAUAAUUAUCCAGUUUGUCUCGAUAAACGUGAAACGAGAUAUUUUCGUCAUCCUUAUCAUGUAAUAAUUGCAGUGGGACCCGCAGACCAAUAAUUGAGUUAAAAAGCCCCGUUUUGAUGAUUAUCUUGAAAACCAGUACCGAUUGGACCCCGCUUUAUUAAUAUAAAGCUAGUAAAUACGUAUUUUCAUGUCAUAUACGAUCCAAAGGGGUACCAAUUAGUUGUAAAUAUAAAUAUACCUUUCUAGAGCUUAUUUUCACCCGUAAAAAUCAUUUCACCAGUUUCUCUGCACGAAUACCGAGAGAAACCGAGCUGCGUUCUUCGUGUUCUUCAUAAUCAAACGUGGAUUUGAAGGCGUUAUUGGAGUCAGAAUCAAGCGUGCGAAUAGUCAAAUCGAAGAUAUCGAAGAGUAGAAUCUAUAUCUGCAAUCAAAAACAACAUGAGAUUCACAGGAUUUGGACGAGACAAGGAUGACCGAAGACGUUCAGAAGGACAAGUGGUGUUCCAAAGCGAAUAAAGAAUGAAUCGAGUAAGCGAAGCAAUGUGGCGAAUAGAGUAUAGCUAGAGAUGGUCUAGAGAUUACAAGGUGCAUAGAUUGUGAAAGUGGAAAGAUGAGAUUGAGAUGUGAGACUGGAGUCAGAUUUAAGAAAGGCUGAAAGAUAAGAUGAUUGAUUGAGAUUGUGGAUAAGACUAAUGCUAGACGAGGAGACAGAGUUGAGGAUCAAGUGGUCGAGGAGUGUUCAGGAAAGUUGAUGAGGUCGGUGCUAGCUCGAGUUGUGCGAUCUAGAUUCAGAUGUAAGUCAUAGCUGGAAGAGUUGACAGUGAUUCUUCAUAUCGAAGAUGAUCUGACUUGGUAAGAAAUGUUGUGUAGUAUUAGUGGUGGAUUCUAAUUUCAAUACUGUAACCUGGAAGCGAUCCUGUUGUUUUUGGGGGUUAAAUGUUCUCUUUUGAAUCAUUUAUUAAAGUUUAAAUAUUCUCUGGAAAUUCUUUUAUGAUGGUUUCAAGUUUAAACUUUCAGGUCUUGAAAUCAUUUGAUUUAUGUUCUCAUUCAAAGUUUUUAUUAAAUGUUUUCAAGUUUUAAAUUCUUUUGGAUUUUCAUUAUCUUUAAAAGAAAAAAAAAUAUACAGGGUUUCAAAAGUGUUUUAAAAGGGUUUUGUGUGGUGACGUCAGAAUCCAGGCCCCCGGAUUCUCGGGCCGUCACAGUUGGUAUCAGAGCAACAGGUUAUAAGUAUUUGAAAUUAGAAUAUAGAUCAUAGUUAUAGAUUUUCUAGAGAAGAAUGUUGUGUAACCUCACAUAGAGGUAUGGUUAGACUAUUUGGGAAUAGUCUAGUGAUGUGAGUGAAGCAUAGAAUCUAGUUAGACGACUAAGUUGAGUGCAUAAGUUUAGAGAGAUUUUGAUUCCUAAGUUUAGACAUUUCAUUUCUAGCGAUCGAGUAACCGAGAAUGGUACUAUUGUGAGAAAGGUCAGUAUUAGACCUAUAUAGAAGAGUUUGAUAAUGAAUGAUUGAGUUGAAAAUGGUGAAAAUGCAGUGUUCAGAUUAUUCUGACUAUACUGCAUAGUUGAAAAUGGUCUAUUGUAUUGAUUUGAGAAUGAUAAAAAUGCAUGGUUCAUAGUAUGUUGACCAUGUCAGAUAUUUGGAAGAUGUAUAUGGUUUUGAGUGAAGAUAUGAAAGGUGAAUGUAGAAUAUGAGUUGUAUUGGAUUAGAAGGAGAGAUUGGUAUAUAGAGGUUGAUAGGUGAGAAGGGAAUGAUAGAGAAUAUGUGGAAUUGAGUCCAGUUAUUAGAAAUGAUGUCUACGAGUAAGUUAGAACGUUAGUCCUCGACGACAACGCUUCGAGCUAAUCGGGAUUUCAAACGAUAUCAAGGUGGGCCCAUAACCCACAGGUUGACGAUCCAAACGAUUGAAGAUAUGUUACAUGUCAUGCUAUGGACUUCAAAGGCAAUUGGGAUGAAAUAAUGUAAACUACUUGGGCCAGACUUAUUACGAACAAUGACAUCUUACGACGCUAUUACGAUUGAACGUCGAUCAAUUAUCGAGAAGGCUGAAAAGGAGAUAUACAACGAACGAUGAUUUUUGAAGUAGAGCAGUAAUUUGAGAAGACCUUGGCAGUACCUCUCUUCAACUAAAGAUUCUUUUGAUUAUAUGUUUUUCAUCAGUGAGUUAUUAUGAUAUCAUUUCGAUAAACGAGAUUUUCAAUUUCUCAAAUUCUAAGAUGACAUUGAUAUUGAUUAUUGGUAUGAGUUGGAAAGCAAAGAUGUGUGAUAAAGGUUUGUUGUGAAGAGAUAGUGAUGUUCCUUGAUAUUGUUUGACAUUUCUUGACAUUCCUUGAUACCCUUUCAUCUUCCCUGGUAUCCCUUGAUGUUCUUUGAUAUCUUUGAUAUUCCUUGACAUUCUUUGAUAUUCCUUGACAUUUAUUCAAUUUGAUUGGGAUGAACAACCCUAUUUAUAGGGGACACAAGGUAUACCUGUCUGUGUGAUAGGAGUUGGAUGGGACGCCAUCACUUGUGUGUGUUGUGAUUACAAGAAGGUUAACAACCUUUAGUAGUGUCUAAUAUGGACACGCAACAUUAAGUUCAUUUGAUCGUAUUGAUCUCCCAGUCACUCUUGUAUUCCAAUGUCACCUAUUUUGAAAACAUCUUGUUACUCUGAAAUUUCCAAAGAUUGAUUCUUGGGAAAUGAAUUCUGCAAUUGUGUAAGUUGAUUCUCCAAUUUCUUUAAAGCUAAAGGUAUGCCAAGGCCGAUCAAAGGUGAAUGAUGAUACGUUAUUACGAAGUGUAUAGUGGAAUCUUCAAAGUGAUACGUUUGAGUUCUCUUUGCGGAUUCCGAGGGCGGAAUCCUUAUAAGGGGGGUAGAAUGUAAUAUCCCAUACUAUUAAAUUCAGAUUUGAUUAUUAUACAUCUAUUUGUCUAGAUAUUAUUGUUGUCUCUAGUUGAAUAUUGAUGUGAUUAUGUGAAUAGUGUGUAUGUGAUUAUACUUGUUAUGUGGAUUAAUAUGGAUUUUACAGAUUAUGCGUCCUCCUUCUUUUUCUGAUUCCGAGGACGGAAUCCCUAUAAGGAGGGUAGAUUGUAAUAACCCGGAUUUUAAAAAUAUUUUAUUAAUAUUAUAAAUGAUUUUCUUAAAAAGAAAGGAAUAAGAUUUAAUAUUUUAUCCCAGUUUAAUGAAUUUUCAAGGUUUUAUACUUAAACCCGGGUUAUUGUGUUAUUAAUAAAUAAUUGUAUUUUUAAAACUGAUUUUCAUAUAUUGUUUCGAAAAUUCUAGAUGAGUAUUAUGGGAAUAUAUGUGUUAUGUGAUUAAGUGGUAUUGGUGAAUUUGUUGGUUAAUUAAUUAUGGUUAAUUAUGAGUAUUAUAUGAUUAAUAUAUGAAUUUUUGUGAAUUUUAUAUUAUAUGGUUUAUUGCGUUAACUGCUCAGAUGUGUUCGUAUUUGAGAUAUUUCAAUUUCUAUAGGCUCAGGAGAAAAUAUAGUUUAUUUGGAUAUUUUCAUAUCGAUUUAUGGAAUGUUAGAUGAUUUUAUAAUUGAUUUACGGAUUUAAUUGCGUAUAUUUAUAUUUAAUUAUUGAUUAUUUGAUUUCCGUAAAACCGUCCACUCGUAACGGUGUAGCAAAUUUUCUUUCCGGAAGUUUCGAGAAAACUCACCUUUAGCCUAAUUUGAAUAUUCCGGACAUUUUUCGUGUUUUGACUUUUUCGAUCCGGAGUACGGUUUUCCCCGUAGUCGGUCCGGCGGAGUUUUUCGGGUACUAAAAUUAUCGAUAAUUAUCCAGUUUGUCUCGAUAAACGUGAAACGAGAUAUUUUCGUCAUCCUUAUCAUGUAAUAAUUGCAGUGGGACCCGCAGACCAAUAAUUGAGUUAAAAAGCCCCGUUUUGAUGAUUAUCUUGAAAACCAGUACCGAUUGGACCCCGCUUUAUUAAUAUAAAGCUAGUAAAUACGUAUUUUCAUGUCAUAUACGAUCCAAAGGGGUACCAAUUAGUUGUAAAUAUAAAUAUACCUUUCUAGAGCUUAUUUUCACCCGUAAAAAUCAUUUCACCAGUUUCUCUGCACGAAUACCGAGAGAAACCGAGCUGCGUUCUUCGUGUUCUUCAUAAUCAAACGUGGAUUUGAAGGCGUUAUUGGAGUCAGAAUCAAGCGUGCGAAUAGUCAAAUCGAAGAUAUCGAAGAGUAGAAUCUAUAUCUGCAAUCAAAAACAACAUGAGAUUCACAGGAUUUGGACGAGACAAGGAUGACCGAAGACGUUCAGAAGGACAAGUGGUGUUCCAAAGCGAAUAAAGAAUGAAUCGAGUAAGCGAAGCAAUGUGGCGAAUAGAGUAUAGCUAGAGAUGGUCUAGAGAUUACAAGGUGCAUAGAUUGUGAAAGUGGAAAGAUGAGAUUGAGAUGUGAGACUGGAGUCAGAUUUAAGAAAGGCUGAAAGAUAAGAUGAUUGAUUGAGAUUGUGGAUAAGACUAAUGCUAGACGAGGAGACAGAGUUGAGGAUCAAGUGGUCGAGGAGUGUUCAGGAAAGUUGAUGAGGUCGGUGCUAGCUCGAGUUGUGCGAUCUAGAUUCAGAUGUAAGUCAUAGCUGGAAGAGUUGACAGUGAUUCUUCAUAUCGAAGAUGAUCUGACUUGGUAAGAAAUGUUGUGUAGUAUUAGUGGUGGAUUCUAAUUUCAAUACUGUAACCUGGAAGCGAUCCUGUUGUUUUUGGGGGUUAAAUGUUCUCUUUUGAAUCAUUUAUUAAAGUUUAAAUAUUCUCUGGAAAUUCUUUUAUGAUGGUUUCAAGUUUAAA